rnacentral:rRNA from 1 species
UACGGGGGGAGCAAGCGUUGUUCGGAUUUACUGGGCGUAAAGGGCGCGUAGGCGGUCAGUGCAAGUCAGUUGUGAAAUCUCCGGGCUUAACUCGGAAAGGUCAACUGAUACUGCUCGACUAGAGUGCGGAAGGGGCAACUGGAAUUUACGGUGUAGCGGUGAAAUGCGUAGAGAUGUGGAGGAACACCGAUGGCGAAGGCAGCCCCCUGGGCUAACACUGACGCUCAUGCACGAAAGCGUGGGGAGCAAACAGG